GGGAUAUUGCACAAUGGGGGAAACCCUGAUGCAGCGACGCCGCGUGAGCGAUGAAGUAUUUCGGUAUGUAAAGCUCUAUCAGCAGGGAAGAAAAUGACGGUACCUGACUAAGAAGCCCCGGCUAACUACGUGCCAGCAGCCGCGGUAAUACGUAGGGGGCAAGCGUUAUCCGGAUUUACUGGGUGUAAAGGGAGCGUAGACGGCUGUGCAAGUCUGGAGUGAAAGGCGGGGGCUCAACCCCCGGACUGCUUUGGAAACUGUGCAGCUAGAGUGUCGGAGAGGCAAGUGGAAUUCCUAGUGUAGCGGUGAAAUGCGUAGAUAUUAGGAGGAACACCAGUGGCGAAGGCGGCUUGCUGGACGAUGACUGACGUUGAGGCUCGAAAGCGUGGGGAGCAAACAGGA
rnacentral:misc_RNA from 1 species